rnacentral:rRNA from 1 species
CCUACGGGAGGCAGCAGUGGGGGAUAUUGCACAAUGGGGGAAACCCUGAUGCAGCGACGCCGCGUGAGUGAAGAAGUAUUUCGGUAUGUAAAGCUCUAUCAGCAGGGAAGAAAAUGACAGUACCUGACCAAGAAGCCCCGGCUAACUACGUGCCAGCAGCCGCGGUAAUACGUAGGGGAGAAGCGUUAACCGGAUUUAAUUGGUGUAAAGGGAGCGUAGACGGUUAUGUAAGUCUGGAGUGAAAGACCGGGGCCCAACCCCCGGAGUGCUUUGGAAACUGUGUAACUGGAGUACAGGAGAGGUAGGCGGAAUGCGUGGUGUAGCGGUGAAAUGCGUAGAUAUCAGGAGGAACACCGGCGGCGAAGGCGGCCUGCUGGACUGAAACUGACGUUGAGGCUCGAAAGCGUGGGGAGCAAACAGGAUUAGAUACCCGGGUAGUC